rnacentral:rRNA from 1 species
UUACCCGCUGAACCUAAGCAUAUCUAUAAGGCGGAGGAAAAGAGACUAACAAAGAUUUCCCCUAGUAACUGCGAGUGAAGCGGGAAAAGCUCAAAUUUAAAAUCUGGCGGUCCUUGCCCGUCCGAGUUGUAAUCUAGAGAAGUGUUACCCGCGCUGGGCCGUGUACAAGUCUCCUGGAAUGGAGCGUCAUAGAGGGUGAGAAUCCCGUCUCUGACACGGACUACCAGGGCUGUGUGGUAUGCUCUCAAAGAGUCGAGUUGUUUGGGAAUGCAGCUCAAAAUGGGUGGUAAAUUCCAUCUAAAGCUAAAUAUUGGCGAGAGACCGAUAGCGAACAAGUACCGUGAGGGAAAGAUGAAAAGAACUUUGGAAAGAGAGUUAAACAGUACGUGAAAUUGCUGAAAGGGAAACGCUUGAAGUCAGUCACGUUGGCUGGGGAUCAGCCUCGCAAUUGCGUGGUGUACUUUCUGGUUGACGGGUCAGCAUCAAUUUUGACCGCUGGAAAAAGGCUUAGGGAAUGUGGCAGCUUCGGCUGUGUUAUAGUCCUUUGUCACAUACAGCGGUUGGGAUUGAGGAACUCAGCACGCCGCAAGGCCGGGUUUCGACCACGUUCGUGCUUAGGAUGCUGGCAUAAUGGCUUUAAGCGACCCGUCUUGAAACACGGACCAAGGAGUCUAACAUGCCUGCAAGUGUUUGGGUGGAAAACCCGAGCGCGUAAUGAAAGUGAAAGUUGAGAUCCCUGUCGUGGGGAGCAUCGACGCCCGGACCAGAACUUUUGGGACGGAUCCGCGGUAGAGCAUGUAUGUUGGGACCCGAAAGAUGGUGAACUAUGCCUGAAUAGGGUGAAGCCAGAGGAAACUCUGGUGGAGGCUCGUAGCGAUUCUGACGUGCAAAUCGAUCGUCAAAUUUGGGUAUAGGGGCGAAAGACUAAUCGAACCCUUUUUUUGGCCG